AAAAGGUAGUGCGAUUGCUCCGACAACCAGGAGGUUGGCUUAGAAGCAGCCAUCCUUUAAAGAAAGCGUAACAGCUCACUGGUCGAGGAGUCGUGCGCCGAAAAUUCAACGGGGCAAAGUAUUAUACCGAAGCAAUGGAUAUGUAUUUAUACAUAUGGUAGAGGAGCGUUCCAUUCAGCAGUGAAGCUGUGCUGUGAGGCAUGGUGGAGCGGAUGGAAGUGAGAAUGUUGGCAUGAGUAACUACUAGGCAGGUGAAAACCCUGCCCACCGAAUUCCCAAGGUUUCCCACGCAACGGCAAUCGGCGUGGGGUUAGUCGGUCCUAAGGCCAGGCCGAAAGGCGUAACCGAUGGACAACAGGUCAAUAUUCCUGUACUUCGUAAAGAUCGCCCAAGGAUAUUAGUUGAUAGUUUUAUCAGCCUCUGAGACUUUAUUGUCUUAUGUUAAUAGAAAAGGAUUCUUUUAUUCUAGGAGCGGUGGGACGGAGUGGGAGGACCAGAGCGUGUGUAUUGACUGCACGUGUAACACGUUAGUUGUUGAGACUCAUAGGAAAAUCCGUGAGUUGAGGCGAGCGUGGAUACCAAUUGCUUCGCUUCGGCGGAGUUAGUCUGACUCUUUGCGCUUCCAAGAAAAGCAUCGCUUCCGAGAGCUUUACGAAUCCGUACCGUAAACCAACACCGGUGGGAUGGUCGAGUAGACCAAGGUGAACGAGAGAACUCGCGUUAAGGAACUCGGCAAAAUAGCGUCCGUAACUUCGGGAUAAGGACUGACGGUGACCGCAAGGUCAUCGCCCGCAGCAAAAGAGAUCAGGCGACUGUUUACCAAAAACACAGGUCCAUGCUGAAGUCGCAAGACGACGUAUAUGGGCUGAUGCCUGCCCAGUGUCAGAAGGUUACGUGAGGAGGUGCAAGCUUCCGAUCUAAGCCCUGAUGAACGGCGGCCGUAACUAUAACGGUCCUAAGGUAGCGAAAUUCCUUGUCGGGUAAGUUCCGACCCGCACGAAUGGUAUAACGGUCUGAUCACUGUCUCAACGCGAGACUCGGUGAAAUUGCAGUCCCGGUGCAAAUGCCGGGUAGAUGAUGGAAGGACGAAAAGACCCUAUGAAGCUUUACUAUAAGCUGGCAUUGUAUUUUUGACUUAUAUGUGCAGGAUAGGUGGGAGACUUUGAAGCGGUGGCGUUAGCCACUGUGGAGUCACUGUUGAGAUACCACCCUUGUAUUUUGAAAAUACUCACCCUCAGUGUGACACGCACGGGGGGACAGUGCUUGCCGGGUAGUUUAACUGGGGCGGUUGCCUCCUAAAAUGUAACGGAGGCGUGCAAUGGUCCACUAGUACCGGAUGGAAAUCGGUAUUGUCGUGCAAUCGCAUAAGUGGGCCUGACUGUGAGACUUACAGGUCGAGCAGGGACGAAAGUCGGUGAUAGUGAUCCGGUGCCCGAACACUUUAAACUGUUCAAACCACGUGGGUGGGGCAUCGCUCAACGGAUAAAAGUUACUCUAGGGAUAACAGGCUGAUCGCUCCCAAGCGCCCAUAGCGACGGAGCGGUUUGGCACCUCGAUGUCGGCUCAUCGCAUCCUGGGACUGAAGAAGGCCCCAAGGGUUUGGCUGUUCGCCAAUGAAAGCGGUACGCGAGCUGGGUUCAGAACGUCGUGAGACAGUUUGGCCUCUAUCCUCCAUCAUCAUUUAGAAACGUGAAGAAAGCUGCUCCUAGUACGAGAGGACCGGAGUGGACGAACCUCUGGUGUACCUAUUGUCGUGUCAACGGCAGAGUAGGAUAGCUAUGUUCGGCAGGGAUAACCGCUGAAAGCAUCUAAGUGGGAAGCCCCUUCUAAGAUAACGUUUCUCCAUAAGUCCGCCGGAAGAUGACCGGCUAGAUCGGCUACAAGUGUACGCACGGCAACGUGUUCAGCUGAGUAGUACGAACGGACGAUUGAA
rnacentral:rRNA from 1 species